rnacentral:rRNA from 1 species
AAACAACGAUAUUCCUAAAUUCAAAUAUCCGCCCGGGAAAUACGAACAUUAGUUUAAAACCCAAAGGACCUGACGGUGCUUAUACCCCCUAGAGGAGCCUGUUCUAUAAUCGAUAAUCCCCGUUAAACCUCACCCUCUCUUGUCAACCACAGCCAGUAUACCUCCGUCGUCAGCUUACCCUGCUAAGGCCCAAAAGUAUGCGAAAUUGGUACUCAUAGCCCAAAACGUCAGGUCAAGGUGCAGCUUAUGGGAGGGGAAGAAAUGGGCUACAUUGGCUAACAUAGUCUACCACGAAUAACAUGAUGAAACCUCAUGUAUUGAAGGAGGAUUUAGUAGUAAGUAAAAAAUAGAGUGUUAC